ACGAGGUAUUAUCAUAUGAGCUUGACCAUCGUACGCAGGGAACGGAUUGCUGGUCUAUCAUGAAAUUCUCUUUUGAAGAUGCAUUGACAGAGAAAAUUGAACGAUGGAUGUACCAACUUCAAAAUCUGCAACCUGAAACAUAUUAUGAAUUUAGGUUGCGUUCUGUAAUCAAUCAAGUAAAAAGCCAUUACUCGGAGACUAAGAGCACGCAGACACUUAAACUAGGUACGAAAAUAUUUAGAUUUAACUGUAGGAUAUAACUGUAUUGUAUUGUAAUCUCUAACGUCAUCAAUUGAUGAUCGCAAAUUAAGUUUACUGGUGAUGCGUUAGCAGAGCUAGUUGACGGGUAUUUGCGACCAUCAAAUCACCAGUUGAUUUCGUCGGAGCUUAACAUACAAUAUUGUAAUUUCCAUUAUACUGAAACUGACAGAAAAUAACGUCAAAUCAUACAUUUUAAAUGUGUUAUAUGUCAUUUGCGCCUGGGCGUGUGUUUCAUUUGUGAAUUGAUGUCACACCAAUUGGUGAUGUUAUCCGAUCAAAAGGAACGUUACAAACGAUGUUGCAUUACAAUUCUAGAACAUUUGACAUUGUUGAAUGCAGUGAUUGUUCAAUAACCUUUGAAUGGAGGAGUGAUGUCCCACACGGGGUAUUAUCGUAUGAGCUUGAUCACCGAACUGAAGGAACAGAUAGCUGGUAUUUCACGAAAUUCUCUUCUGAUGAUGAAUUUGCAAGGAAAAAUGGACGACAUAUGUACAUACUUCAAAAUCUGCAACCUGAAACAUAUUAUUACUUAAGGCUGCGUUCUAUUAUUGAUCCUGUUAAAAUCAUUUAUUCGGAGAAAAAGAAAAUGCGUACACUUAAUCUAGGUAGGGAAAUACAUGUAUAAUGAUUUGUUUCUUCAAUGUCAUGCGCGUCUAACACGAUCAAUCUAUUUUAUGGUGACACCACUGACUUUUUUCUCCAUUUCAAUUAUGGGAAUCGUUACCUUUAUAUCAGCUUCUUGUAGUAAUAUUUUCUGUUGUUUUAUGUAUGUCAAGUUUCAAUGUCUUCUAUCGUUUCAUAUUUUUUUUCCAAAAUACAAAGAAAGCUUUAAUCAAUAUAUUGUUUCACAAAUCUAAAAAAAGUACCCGCUUGAUCACGGAUCAAGUAAUAGAAAACUUAUCUCUGGAAUAGAUUAUCUUAGCUGUAUUUGGCUAACAUUUUAUUAAUUCGUGGUCCCCAAUGCUCUUCAACAUGUUCAACAUCAUUUUUUUUUGCCUUUUUAACAUUUUCUUAUUCGAGUGUCAUAGUUGAGUCAUAUGUACAGCAAAUACAGAAUUACUAUCCUGGAACCUAUGAUGAGUUCAUUCGAACAAUUUAUGUCACGAAGUGACAAUCUCUUAGAAACUGAAAAUCAGGAACGAAAAACAUCUAAUGAGAAUAAAACGUCGUCGGAUUUUGCACAUUUAACAAACAUUUAUUCCCAUGUUCCUUAAGAACCGCCUUGAUUUGUCAAUUGGUGGAAAUUUUGGAAGGGUAUGCCUAAAUUAAAUGAUCUCUUGUUAACAAACUAACUGACAGAUGCAGUAACUUUUACUAUAGGUUAAGACCUAAGGAAUCUCUAAAUUAAAUACAAUCUUUUACUUAACUUUUAUUUGGAUGCAAUACCGAAACUGAUUUCUAUAUGGUAAUGAUUUAUAACUCUUACUGUAAUUGUGAGCUUGAUCUACUAUAUCUAUAGAAACCGAUGAUCCUUAUGGAGAAGUUGUGCUUGAUCAUGUGGAUAGACCAUCGUUUUUCUUUGACCCUGACAUUGGCUGUAUUUGUCGUCAAAUUGUAUCUUAUUCGUUUGAAUCUGUCUUUCAAUAACCAAAACAUUGUCAGGUAAACUGAUAAAAUAUUUGUGAUCUAUUUUUUCAGCUCCUAGAAAAUUUGACAUUGUUGAAUGUACUGAUUGUUCGAUAACCAUUGAAUGGUUAAGUGAUAUCCCACACGAGGGCUUAUCGUAUGAGCUUGACCAUCGACUUCAAGGAACAGAUGACUGGUACGUCAAGACAUUCCUGUCUGAAAAUGCAUUGACAGGGGAAAGUGGACAAAGGAUGUACAAAUUUCAAAAUUUGCAACCUGAAACAUAUUAUGAGUUAAGGCUACGUUCUGUUCAUAAUUAUGUCAAAAGCCAUUAUUCGGAGACUAAAAGCAUGAAGACAC
rnacentral:lncRNA from 1 species